rnacentral:rRNA from 1 species
GACGAACGCUGGCGGCGUGCUUACCUCAUGCAAGUCGAACGGAGCACCCUUGAUUGAGGUUUCGGCCAAAUGAUAGGAAUGCUUAGCGGCGGACUGGUGAGUAACGCGUGAGGAACCUGCCUUUCAAAGGGGGACAACAGUUGGAAACGACUGCUAAUACCGCAUGACGCAUUUUGAUCGCAUGGUCAAAAUGCCAAAAAUUUAUCGCUGAAAGAUGGCCUCGCGUCUGAUUAGCUAGUUGGUGAGGUAACGGCCCACCAAGGCAACAAUCAGUAGCCGGACUGAGAGGUUGACCGGCCACUUUGGGACUGAAAUACGGCCCAAACUCCUACGGGAGGCAGCAGUGGGGAAUAUUGGGCAAUGGGCGCAAGCCUGACCCACCAACGCCGCGUGAAGGAAGAAGGCUUUCGGGUUGUAAACUUCUUUUAAGUGGGAAGAGCAAAAAACGGUACCACUUGAAUAAGCCACGGCUAACUACGUG